GCGGCGUGCCUAAUACAUGCAAGUCGAACGCACUCUCGUUUAGAUUGAAGGAGUUUGCUCCUGAUUGAUAGACAUUUGAGUGAGUGGCGGACGGGUGAGUAACACGUGGGUAACCUGCCCUAAAGUGGGGGAUAACAUUUGGAAACAGAUGCUAAUACCGCAUAAAACCUAACACCGCAUGGUGUAGGGUUGAAAGAUGGUUUCGGCUAUCACUUUAGGAUGGACCCGCGGUGCAUUAGUUAGUUGGUGAGGUAAAGGCUCACCAAGACCGUGAUGCAUAGCCGACCUGAGAGGGUAAUCGGCCACACUGGGACUGAGACACGGCCCAGACUCCUACGGGAGGCAGCAGUAGGGAAUCUUCCACAAUGGACGAAAGUCUGAUGGAGCAACGCCGCGUGAGUGAAGAAGGUUUUCGGAUCGUAAAACUCUGUUGUUGGAGAAGAAUGUAUCUGAUAGUAACUGAUCAGGUAGUGACGGUAUCCAACCAGAAAGCCACGGCUAACUACGUGCCAGCAGCCGCGGUAAUACGUAGGUGGCAAGCGUUGUCCGGAUUUAUUGGGCGUAAAGCGAGCGCAGGCGGUUUCUUAAGUCUGAUGUGAAAGCCUUCGGCUCAACCGAAGAAGUGCAUCGGAAACUGGGAAACUUGAGUGCAGAAGAGGACAGUGGAACUCCAUGUGUAGCGGUGAAAUGCGUAGAUAUAUGGAAGAACACCAGUGGCGAAGGCGGCUGUCUGGUCUGUAACUGACGCUGAGGCUCGAAAGCAUGGGUAGCAAACAGGAUUAGAUACCCUGGUAGUCCAUGCCGUAAACGAUGAGUGCUAGGUGUUGGAGGGUUUCCGCCCUUCAGUGCCGCAGCUAACGCAUUAAGCACUCCGCCUGGGGAGUACGACCGCAAGGUUGAAACUCAAAGGAAUUGACGGGGGCCCGCACAAGCGGUGGAGCAUGUGGUUUAAUUCGAAGCAACGCGAAGAACCUUACCAGGUCUUGACAUCCUUUGACCACUCUAGAGAUAGAGCUUUCCCUUCGGGGACAAAGUGACAGGUGGUGCAUGGUUGUCGUCAGCUCGUGUCGUGAGAUGUUGGGUUAAGUCCCGCAACGAGCGCAACCCUUAUUACUAGUUGCCAGCAUUUAGUUGGGCACUCUAGUGAGACUGCCGGUGACAAACCGGAGGAAGGUGGGGACGACGUCAAAUCAUCAUGCCCCUUAUGACCUGGGCUACACACGUGCUACAAUGGAUGGUACAACGAGUUGCGAGACCGCGAGGUUUAGCUAAUCUCUUAAAACCAUUCUCAGUUCGGAUUGUAGGCUGCAACUCGCCUACAUGAAGCCGGAAUCGCUAGUAAUCGCGGAUCAGCAUGCCGCGGUGAAUACGUUCCCGGGUC
rnacentral:rRNA from 2 species